AUUGAACGCUGGCGGCAUGCUUUACACAUGCAAGUCGAACGGCAGCGCGGGGCAACCUGGCGGCGAGUGGCGAACGGGUGAGUAAUAUAUCGGAACGUACCCAAGAGUGGGGGAUAACGUAGCGAAAGUUACGCUAAUACCGCAUACGAUCUAAGGAUGAAAGCAGGGGACCGCAAGGCCUUGUGCUCCUGGAGCGGCCGAUAUCUGAUUAGCUAGUUGGUGAGGAAUGGCUCACCAAGGCGACGAUCAGUAGCUGGUCUGAGAGGACGACCAGCCACACUGGGAACUGAGACACGGUCCAGACUCCUACGGGAGGCAGCAGUGGGGAAUUUUGGACAAUGGGCGCAAGCCUGAUCCAGCAAUGCCGCGUGAGUGAAGAAGGCC
rnacentral:rRNA from 1 species